rnacentral:rRNA from 1 species
UACGAAGGGGGCUAGCGUUGCUCGGAAUCACUGGGCGUAAAGCGCACGUAGGCGGCUUUCUAAGUCAGGGGUGAAAUCCUGGAGCUCAACUCCAGAACUGCCUUUGAUACUGAGGAUCUUGAGUUCGGGAGAGGUGAGUGGAACUGCGAGUGUAGAGGUGAAAUUCGUAGAUAUUCGCAAGAACACCAGUGGCGAAGGCGGCUCACUGGCCCGAUACUGACGCUGAGGCACGAAAGCGUGGGGAGCAAACAGGG